rnacentral:rRNA from 1 species
AAUGAACGCUGGCGGCGUGCCUAACACAUGCAAGUCGGAUGUGCCGCAAGGUGCAUGGCAGACGGGUGAGUAACGCGUGGGGAACCUACCUCUUCGUGGGGAAUAACGAUCCGAAAGGAUUGGUAAUACCGCAUGAGACCGACGGCUGGGAUGCUGUCGGUGAAAGCUGGGGACCGGAAACGGCCUGGCGCGAGGAGAGGGUCCUGCGUCUGAUUAGCUAGUUGGUGGGGUAACGGCCUACCAAGGCAUCGAUCAGUAGCCGGCCUGAGAGGGUGAUCGGCCACACUGGAACUGAGACACGGUCCAGACUCCUACGGGAGGCAGCAGUGGGGAAUUUUGCGCAAUGGACGAAAGUCUGACGCAGCAACGCCGCGUGGGUGAUGAAGGUCUUCGGAUUGUAAAACCCUGUACGUCGGGGACGAAGGUAGGGGGUAUAGCCUUUUGCUUGACGGUACCCGGAGAGGAAGCCCCGGCGUAACUCU